CCUACGGGAGGCAGCAGUGGGGAAUAUUGGACAAUGGGCGCAAGCCUGAUCCAGCCAUGCCGCGUGAGUGAAGAAGGCCUUAGGGUUGUAAAGCUCUUUCAGCGGGGACGAUAAUGACGGUACCCGCAGAAGAAGCCCCGGCUAACUUCGUGCCAGCAGCCGCGGUAAUACGAAGGGGGCUAGCGUUGUUCGGAAUUACUGGGCGUAAAGCGCGCGUAGGCGGAUCGAUAAGUCAGGGGUGAAAUCCCAGGGCUCAACCCUGGAACGGCCUUUGAUACUGUUGGUCUGGAGUCCGGGAGAGGUGAGUGGAAUUCCGAGUGUAGAGGUGAAAUUCGUAGAUAUUCGGAGGAACACCAGAAGCGAAGGCGGCUCACUGGCCCGGUACUGACGCUGAGGCGCGAAAGCGUGGGGAGCAAACAGGAUUAGAUACCCUGGUAGUC
rnacentral:rRNA from 1 species